rnacentral:tRNA from 1 species
GGAGUUGUGGCUCAGUGGUAGAGUGCUUUCCUCUCAUGUGUGAGGCUGGGUUCAGUCCUCAGCACCA